CAAAACCUAGGGCGCGAGC
rnacentral:snRNA from 1 species